AAGAGUAGCUACACUUAAGUGGAUGUUGAAGAAAAGGACCCUUGGAGACUGUGGAAUUGAUGGCAAGUUGGAUACAGGCUUUAAUGAGAGAACAGAUGUCUGGUGAUGAGAAUGCUAUUCUGGAUGUGGUGCCUCAUCUUCUCCAAACUAACCAAUCAUCCAGGUGGAAUCCAACUAAAAGCCUGGAUCCAAAUUCCAGAUCAGGAUCUAAACUUCAUCUCUCUGCUCCAAAAAGAAGCAACUUCAUUUCCAAAGCCAGUUAAUAUUGCUGAGUGAUAACGUAUUAAUCUACCGUCUUGUUUACAAAACUCACCCACUUGAAAGCCAGGAAAAGAAUAGUUAAUGACAUCAGACACUGCAAGCUAUCCAUGUAAUAAACAAAUAAUUCUUACCAAGAAGAAGGUAACAAAUAUGUCAUCAUACCAAAAUGAUUUUAACACUGACCCAAAAUGAAUACUAUUCUUUUACCAGUAAUCAGAAAAUAUAAACACAACAAUCCUUUGAAAAACAAGCUUUAAUUUGAGCAUGUAUGUUUAUGUUUCAUUUUCUACAAGGUUUUGUUGUGAACUCUCUAAAAUGUCAAAAGCACAUCUUUAACUUCACUAUCGAGUAUGCACCAUGACACUUUAUCAGCCUAGACAAAAAAUUUCAUUGCCUCUUCUAAUCAAAUCUGGAGGACUUCUGAACUCCCAUUAAACUUACUUAACCACUUCA